rnacentral:lncRNA from 1 species
AUGGGCAGAGGGUCAAUCACUCCAAUAUCUUUGUCAAGAAAAGUCUACAUGGAAUCACAAAGAUUCAGGCAUAACAGAAACGAAGAAACCACAAAAAGAAACCAGAAUUCAUCAUUUCAUUUCAUCAGAGAAGAAAGUAAAACCAAAAUAGAUGAGCAGCGAGGUGGUAGCAUAGUGGGCAGAAUACCAGUAUCUAAGUCAAGAAAAGUCUUCAUGGAAUCACAAAGAGUCAGGCACAACAGAAAGGAAAGAACAACAACAACAAAAAAAAACACCAGAAUCCAUCAUUUCAUUUCAUCAGAGAAGAAAAUGGGCAGCUAUGUGUUACAGUGGGCAGAGUACCAAUCACUCCAGUAUCUAAGUCAAGAAAGGUCUACAUGGAAUCACCAAGAGUCAGGCACAAUGGAAAUGAAGGGACAAGAAGAAGAAAACAAGAAUUCGUCAUUUCAUUUCAUCAGAUCAGAUAGUAAAAUAAAAACAUAUAGGCAGCAAGGUGGAACAGUGGGCAGAAUACCAAUCACUCCAGUAUCUACAUCAAGAAAAGUCUUCAUGGAAUCAAAGAGUUGGGCACAAUGGAACAGAAAGAAGAACAAAAAGAAACCAGAAUUCAUCAUUUCAUCAGAGAAGAAAGUAAGUCUACAAAGGCUAAUUCAAUAA